rnacentral:rRNA from 1 species
CCUACGGGAGGCAGCAGUGGGGAAUAUUGGACAAUGGGGGCAACCCUGAUCCAGCCAUGCCGCGUGUGUGAAGAAGGCCCUCGGGUUGUAAAGCACUUUCAGUGAGGAAGAACGCCUGGUGGUUAAUACCCAUCAGGAAAGACAUCACUCACAGAAGAAGUACCGGCUAACUCCGUGCCAGCAGCCGCGGUAAUACGGAGGGUGCGAGCGUUAAUCGGAAUUACUGGGCGUAAAGCGCGCGUAGGUGGCUUGAUAAGCCGGUUGUGAAAGCCCCGGGCUCAACCUGGGAACGGCAUCCGGAACUGUCAAGCUAGAGUGCAGGAGAGGAAGGUAGAAUUCCCGGUGUAGCGGUGAAAUGCGUAGAGAUCGGGAGGAAUACCAGUGGCGAAGGCGGCCUUCUGGACUGACACUGACACUGAGGUGCGAAAGCGUGGGUAGCAAACAGGAUUAGAUACCCCGGUAGUC